rnacentral:lncRNA from 1 species
UUGUAUUGCACAACCAAAAGUAAAAGAUUGCUUCCAUUGCCAUUUGCCAAAGAAGAAAAAAAGCUUAAUAAGUGAAAAGGUACAAAACAUCACUGCCAAUUGCUAUGCUCUCUCUCUAGAAGACUGUAAUGAAGUCCUUUCAUAACCCAAGUUUUGACAUUCAUAUCUCACACUAUUUGCUUGUAAGACUCUAGACAAAAGCAGAAACCCAGAAAACCAUUCAUAUCCUAUAAUAAGACCCCAAAUGUAUGCAGAUGAAAAAUACUGACACUGGGAGGGAAGAUAGACAAACAAGGACACACAAACUGUGGUUAGAAUAUGGUGGUGGUGGUGGUGGUAGAUAGGAUGAAACAGAGUAAGACCGAAAGAUAGGAUAUAAGGAAAAAAAAGAAAAACAUGAACAACACUUCUGCACCUGCUCCUAAAAUGGCAUUGUAUUUUUCAGAGGAAGCAGACCGAGGUUGAGCAAUGACAGAAUAGACAGUUUGGCGGGGGUGGGAGGGAAAUGGAUUCGGGUUCAGAUUUGGACUCGACAAUAUAGUGACAUGUGUAAAUAAUGUACACUUGCCAGAUUUUGAAGAAUAGAAAGAUGGGGUGAAGAAACCAAUUGGUGGAAUAUUUUGAAAUUGGGUAAUGUUCUAUAUAAGUGUAAAGCUGAGAAUGAGAUACUACGAGUACUAGCAGGUACGUCCUCUGCGGCAUCCAAGUGCACCAGCACCAGCAGUUAUGGUUCCCACCAUGGCCGAUGACUUGGCUCCCAAGCUUGAGGCCCUGGCAUAGACAGCUGACGCUCCAGCUCC